UACGUAGGGGGCUAGCGUUAUCCGGAAUUACUGGGCGUAAAGGGUGCGUAGGCGGUCUUUCAAGCCAGAAGUGAAAGGCUACGGCUCAACCGUAGUAAGCUCUUGAAACUGUAAGACUUGAGUGCAGGAGAGGAGAGUGGAAUUCCUAGUGUAGCGGUGAAAUGCGUAGAUAUUAGGAGGAACACCAGUUGCGAAGGCGGCUCUCUGGACUGUAACUGACGCUGAGGCACGAAAGCGUGGGGAGCAAACAGGAUUAGAUACCCUGGUAGUCCCU
rnacentral:rRNA from 1 species